rnacentral:sRNA from 1 species
UACAUGGUGCUGUCCCUAUUAAUCCCGGC